CCGGCCUUCCUCCCCGCGCGCCCGCCGAAAUUUUUUUUCACACUAUAUAUACUUGUAUGUUGAUAUCCUACGUGGAUAACUGUGGGUAAUUCUAGAGCUAAUACAUGCACCAAAGCUCCGAUUUUUUGACGAGCGCAUCUAUUAGAUUAAAACCAAUCGGGUUUCGGCCCGUCAAUUGGUGACUCUGAAUAACUAUGGCUGAUCGCAUGGUCUUGAACCGGCGACGUGUCUAUCAAGUGUCUGCCUUAUCAACUUUCGAUGGUAGUUUAUGUGCCUACCAUGGUUGUAACGGGUAACGGAGAAUAAGGGUUCGACUCCGGAGAGGGAGCCUGAGAAACGGCUACCACAUCCAAGGAAGGCAGCAGGCGCGCAAAUUACCCACUCUCGGCAUGAGGAGGUAGUGACGAAAAAUAACGAGACCGUUCUCUCUGAGGCCGGUUAUCGGAAUGGGUACAAUUUAAACCCGUUAACGAGGAUCUAUGAGAGGGCAAGUCUGGUGCCAGCAGCCGCGGUAAUUCCAGCUCUCAAAGUGUAUAUCGUCAUUGCUGCGGUUAAAAAGCUCGUAGUUGGAUCUGCGCCUCAGGACUUGGUCCGCCCACUGGGCGAGAACUGGGCUCCUGGGCUAGUACUGCUGGUUUUCCCUACGUUGCCUUCAUCGGUCGCGUAGGGUGGCUAGCGAGUUUACUUUGAAAAAAUUAGAGUGCUUAACGCGGGCUUAUGUCUGAAUACUCGUGCAUGGAAUAAUAGAAUAGGAUCUCGGUUCUAUUUUGUUGGUUUUCUGAUCUGAGAUAAUGGUUAAGAGGGACGGACGGGGGCAUUCGUAUCGCUGCGUGAGAGGUGAAAUUCUUGGACCGUAGCGAGACGUCCGACUGCGAAAGCAUUUGCCAAGAAUGUCUUCAUUAAUCAAGAACGAAAUUCGGAGGUCGAGAAAAUUUUUCCCCCCACACACACACAAAAGGGGGGGUGAAUAAG
rnacentral:rRNA from 1 species